rnacentral:rRNA from 1 species
GACGAACGCUGGCGGCGUGCCUAAUACAUGCAAGUAGAACGCUGAAGGAGGAGCUUGCUCUUCUGGAUGAGUUGCGAACGGGUGAGUAACGCGUAGGUAACCUGCCUGGUAGCGGGGGAUAACUAUUGGAAACGAUAGCUAAUACCGCAUAAGAGUAGAUGUUGCAUGACAUUUACUUAAAAGGUGCAAUUGCAUCACUACCAGAUGGACCUGCGUUGUAUUAGCUAGUUGGUGGGGUAACGGCUUACCAAGGCGACGAUACAUAGCCGACCUGAGAGGGUGAUCGGCCACACUGGGACUGAGACACGGCCCAGACUCCUACGGGAGGCAGCAGUAGGGAAUCUUCGGCAAUGGACGGAAGUCUGGCCGAGCAACGCCGCGGGAGUGAAGAAGGUUUUCGGAUCGUAAAGCUCUGUUGUAAGAGAAGAACGAGUGUGAGAGUGGAAAGUUCACACUGUGACGGUAUCUUACCAGAAAGGGACGGCUAACUACGUG